rnacentral:misc_RNA from 1 species
GUAUAUUUUAUAAUACCUUUUUAUAGAGUGCCUCUAAAGAAAUUAAAAGUAAGUUUUAUUAGAUAGGUUAUCUAUAAAAGAGGGUUACGCUUGCAAUUCGAACUUAAUCUAUAAUUUUACAAUGCAAGCUUACGACAGCCAUGCAACUCCUAUAAUGAACUUUAAUUUCUUUUUGACAAAUAAAGAAACGUCCCAUUAUCAUUAAUUGUUGGUAAGGUUUAUUGCGGAUUAUCUGAUUAACAUACAUGCUCCACCGCUUGUAAAGACUCCCGCCAAUCCUCUUAAGUUUUAACCUUGCGGCCGUAUUCCCCAGGCGGAGUGCUUAACGCGUUAACUUAAGCUCUAAUUACUCACAUAACUAAAACUCGACACUCAUCGUUGACUGCAUAGACUAC